GGCGCCGCUUGCGGACGCUGAUACGCUGCGGCCGUGCGACGGUCAUGCGCGCUUUGAUGCAACGAGACCGCGGGCUCUGGCGCGUCUGAGCGUCUGAUGGUAUUUGGGGCUCCGAGGAGCAUCUAGGCUUCAUCACCAACAACAGCAGCGAGAUCCGCGAGGCGUAUGGCUUGGACCUGCAUCAGCGCCUGGGCUUCGGCCGCCCUGAGGACCUGGCACUGGCGGCGAGGUCCCUGGCCAGAUCUGUUGCAUUGCGCUCCAUCUGCGCCAGUGCCAGGCAGGCGCGCGGGGCCGCAGGUGUACGUGCUGGACGCCUCGGGUGUGGAGCCCAAGCCGAUGCCGAGUGAACCGCCCUGGCGCCUAACUGCACAAGGCUCCAGAGCUCAAGGAGGUGGUGGCUCCCCUGGCAGAAGAGCCAAGGCCAUCCUGACUCUCAGAGGAAACUGACUUCUCCCUAACAGCUGAGCGGGAACUAAAGCUCCUACUCAGGUGGAGGAGGGUAACUGUUGAGACUGAAACCCCAGCCUGGUUGGAACCAGAAGGCUGAUGAUUGAGAUUCUUGGAAUAUCACCUUGUUACCUCACAUCAACCAAACAGAGGAAGUCAUACAACUUGAAGACUUCCCCCCACCCAGUUUUGCUUUUAAAAACUCUUUCCUGAAAACCAUUGAGGUCUUCUGAGUGUGAGCUGCCCAUUCUCCUUGCUUGGCUCUUCAAUAAACCGUUUCUGCUCCAAACUCC
ensembl:lncRNA